UUUACUAAACUGCAAAUUGAAAGCAUAAAAAUUUUGGACAACCUGCCUAUAGGGACACUUAGAAGACUUUCAAGAAGAAAGUUCUGAUUUCCAAUUAUGGAAAUCAAGAGUAUACCAUCUCAUUUGAGUUAUUAAAGUUCUUUGCCAUUUAUCAGAAAUGUUUAUGCUAGUGGCUCUUCAGGAAACACUAAAUUGUAUUUUACAACCACCAAUAAACAUGUGUUUUCCAAAGUAAUGAUAAUAUUUACUUGUAACCUAGUAAACAGUUGUAAUUUUAAAUAUAAUCACAUUAUGAUUUUUUUCUUUACACUUAAAAUAUACUUAUUUUUUUUUAAUUAUUUUAAUAAUUUUAGAUUCCUCAGCAGGAAAUGGGGUCCUCACUAAAGCUACAGUCCCCAUUUAUGCAACAGGAGUCCUUACGUGUUAUAUUCAGGAAGAAGACCGAAAACUGUUAGUUGGAUUCUUAGAAGACGUAAUGACGCUGCUUUCAUUAUCU
rnacentral:sRNA from 1 species